rnacentral:rRNA from 1 species
UACGAAGGGGGCUAGCGUUGCUCGGAAUUACUGGGCGUAAAGCGCACGUAGGCGGACUCUUAAGUCGGGGGUGAAAGCCCAGGGCUCAACCCUGGAACUGCCUUCGAUACUGGGAGUCUUGAGUGUGGAAGAGGUUGGUGGAACUGCGAGUGUAGAGGUGAAAUUCGUAGAUAUUCGGAGGAACACCAGUGGCGAAGGCGGCUCACUGGUCCAUUACUGACGCUGAGGUGCGAAAGCGUGGGGAGCGAACGGG